rnacentral:lncRNA from 1 species
AACCUCCAACUUUGAAGGAAUAUUGUGUUCUACAGAGAAUAAAUGCUCCACUUUAGGGUCUUGAUGGUGGACGAUGAUUUCCAAUUGGAUUUGGUCCAGAUGGUGUUUUACAAUUUUUCUUGCUUUUUCCCUCCUCGAUGCCAUUUUCCUGUCGGUAAAACACGAGUCAUGAAUCACCAUUUUAUCACCUUAGAUAAAAACAAUACUUGGACUGUAAAUGAAGGAUAGAACUUGCUUGUACUCUUACCGAAGUUCUCACAAUGUGUCCAGCUGCUAUCCUCGUGCUGUAAAAUUCUGCAGGUUUGAUCUUCAAACCAACUGUUGUGAGGAUUUAGAAGGUAGAGGCUUCAUUAAAAACUUGAAUUUUUAAGAACCAAAUAAUUAAUUUGAUUUAAUGGUAAGCAUUAUUAAGGUAGUUGAACUACAUCAUCAAAAAACUUGAGCCAUUAGACAUGCUCUCAACAUGCACAAUCUUUUGUACGUGGACGGGAAGAAACUUGAAGCUAGAAAAAUUGUUUGUUCUGACACAUGUUAAACUACCUCAUUUAAAAGCUUAAACUGUUUGAUUGAGGAAUAUUCCUUGUAGACAUGCUUUUAAGUUUAAAAAUGCUAGAGCACGACAUUUAACUUAAGCAUGUUGAUUGCAAAUGUACUACCACAACAAGUAUAUUUAAGCAUGUCAUCUCAAAUUAUGAGAAAUAUAGUAGCUUGCCUGAUUCGGUUGGUCGACUGACACGACUAAUAGCCUGAUGCUGUUGAAAUGCUGCUGAGAUAAGCCAUGCAAGGAGAAGAUAGAGUAGAAUCCGAGUUCUUAUCAUCUUAAACACAAGCCUGGGAAAGGAGAUUUGUAAGCAGAAG